rnacentral:snoRNA from 1 species
AUCCUGCCCCAAAUAAUGAUGGAAAUAAGGCCUCCGGCGCGCAGAGCAGUGAAGACAAGGCAUCAGAAGACCAUGUAGUUGGAUUUUUCUCUGCUCGGGCUGCAGAAGCUCUAAUAAACGAUCCCCAUACUGCUGUAAAAUCAGCACCAGUAU